GGGGUUGUAGCUCAGUGGUAGGGUGCUUGCCUCACAGGCAUGAGGCACCAGGUUCGAUCCUCAGCACCA
rnacentral:tRNA from 1 species